rnacentral:rRNA from 1 species
CCUACGGGAGGCAGCAGUGGGGAAUAUUGGGCAAUGGAGGCAACUCUGACCCAGCAACGCCGCGUGAAUGAUGAAGGUCUUCGGAUUGUAAAGUUCUUUUCUAAGGGAAGAAGAAAGUGACGGUACCUUAGGAAUAAGCCUCGGCCAACUACGGGCCAGCAGCCGCGGUAAUACGGAGGAGGCAAGCGUUAUCCGGAAGGACUGGGCGUAAAGGGUGGGUAGGUGGUUUGACAAGGUAGUAGCGCAAUUCUGGGGCGCAAACUCGGAACUGCUACUAAAACUGUUGGUCUUGAGUGCAGGGAGGGCAAUCGGAAUUCCUGGUGUAGCGGUGGAAUGCGUAGAUAUUAGGAGGAACACCAGUGGCGAAGGCGGAUUGCUGGACUGUAACUGACACUGAGGCACGAAAGCGUGGGGAGCAAACAGGAUUAGAUACCCCGGUAGUC